AUCAUGGCUCAGGAUGAACGCUAGCUACAGGCUUAACACAUGCAAGUCGAGGGCAGCAGGACGAUAGCUUGCUAUUGUCGCUGGCGACCGGCGCACGGGUGAGUAACGCGUAUCCAACCUUCCCCUUAGUAGAGGAUAGCCCGGCGAAAGUCGGAUUAAUACUCUAUGUUGUAUUUUUGAGGACAUCUGACGAAUACCAAAGAUUCAUCGCUAAGGGAUGGGGAUGCGUCUGAUUAGCUUGUUGGCGGGGUAACGGCCCACCAAGGCGACGAUCAGUAGGGGUUCUGAGAGGAAGGUCCCCCACAUUGGUACUGAGACACGGACCAAACUCCUACGGGAGGCAGCAGUGAGGAAUAUUGGUCAAUGGGCGAGAGCCUGAACCAGCCAAGUAGCGUGCAAGGGAAGACUGCCCUAUGGGUUGUAAACUGCUUUUAUCAGGGAAUAAAGUUCGGCACGUGUGCUGUUUUGUAUGUACCUGAUGAAUAAGGACCGGCUAAUUCCGUGCCAGCCGCCGC
rnacentral:rRNA from 1 species